GAUGAACGCUGGCGGCGUGCCUAAUACAUGCAAGUCGAGCGAACAGACGAGGAGCUUGCUCCUCUGACGUUAGCGGCGGACGGGUGAGUAACACGUGGAUAACCUACCUAUAAGACUGGGAUAACUUCGGGAAACCGGAGCUAAUACCGGAUAAUAUAUUGAACCGCAUGGUUCAAUAGUGAAAGACGGUUUUGCUGUCACUUAUAGAUGGAUCCGCGCCGCAUUAGCUAGUUGGUAAGGUAACGGCUUACCAAGGCAACGAUGCGUAGCCGACCUGAGAGGGUGAUCGGCCACACUGGAACGGAGACACGGUCCAGAGUCCUACGGGAGGCAGCAGUAGGGAAGAUUCCGCAAUGGGCGAAAGCCUGACGGAGCAACGCCGCGUGAGUGAUGAAGGUCUACGGAUCGUAAAACUCUGUUAUUAGGGAAGAAAAAAUGUGUAAGUAACUAUGCACGUAUUGACGGUACCUAAUCAGAAAGCCACGGCUAACUACGUG
rnacentral:rRNA from 1 species